rnacentral:snRNA from 1 species
AGCUUUGCACAGUGGCAGUAUCAUAGCCAAUGAGGUUUAUCCAAGGUGUGAUUAUUGCUAAUAUAAACUCCUACGAUAGAAGAAAGUAACUCCAAAGCUAUAGAUUAGGGUUUAAUUAGGUUGUAUCCAAA